CAACACAACUGGGCCGGGUCGGACCCUUCCCUUCCCUCAGUUCCCUGCACUUUCCUAAGUCGAAAGAGAAUCAUCAUCACACAAUAGCAGAGAAGCUUCUUCAGUUUUGUCCCUUAAGCCCCGUCAACACGGCAAACUAUAUAUCCCUCUCUGAUUCUCUGAGUCAAUUCCACUCCUCUCUUUCUUUUCUAAACCCCAAAACCCAAUUCUCAGAACCCAACAAAUCAUACAACCAUGGUCAGGAAAUCUAAGGAGAAGGACAAGACCGGAGAUGGGUCAACAAGCUCCGGCGACGCAUCGGUGGCUCCGUUUCUGAGAAAAUGUUACGAGAUGGUCGACGACGAAGAAACUGACUCCAUAAUAUCGUGGAGUGAUAGCAAUGACAGCUUUGUGAUCAAGGACAUAACCCAGUUCUCGGUUUUGAUGCUCCCCAAGUAUUUCAAGCACAACAACUUCUCCAGCUUCAUGAGGCAGCUCAAUAUCUAUGGCUUUAGAAAAAUAGAUUCGGAUCGUUAUGUAUUUGCCAAUGAAGGGUUUAUUCGAGGUCAAAAGCAUUUGUUGAAGAAUAUUUUCAGAAGGAAAUAUCCGCAGGGCACAGAUCAGAGAAAAACAUUGCAGCAAAAAGACGAUCAGAAAGAUGAUCCUGAUGAUCCUUGUGAAGACAUUGAAAACGGUUUGUGGAGGGAAGUUGAGAACCUGAAAAUCGAUAAGAUCUCUCUAAAGCAAGAGUUGGUGAAGCUUAGGCAGCACCAGGAGAUGUCAGAAAAUAACUUGCACCUCCUGAGAGACCGCCUUCAUGGAAUGGAGAAGGAUCAGCAGCAGAUGCUCUCAUUUUUGGUGAUGGCAAUGCAAAAUCCUGGGUUCUUAGUUCAGCUGGUUCAGUCAAAAGAACAUAGCUGGCGCUUGGUUGAAGCUGGAACUAUGCUAGAAGAAGUAGAUGAUGGUAGACCAAUGUCUGCUGAUAGAGCCAUAGUUAGGUACCAACCUCCUUUAGAGGAAGCACCAGAGCCUGUCUCCACACCGCAUUUGGGUUCAGAAAUUCAUCCAGAAUUGGAUGCCUUUGUGAAUCCCAAUGGUGUGAUAGUAAGGUACCAACCACAUGUGGGUGUAGCACCAAAUCCUGCAUUCCGACUGAAUUCUGUCUCAGAGAAACCACCAGAAUUUGAUUCUUAUCCUGAUGGAGUGGGAGAUUCUCUUAUGACUUCAGAUGGUGCAUUAGUAAGUUACCAUUCGCCUACGGAUGCAGCACCAAACCCUAUAUUCACUGAGAGUUCAGGCUCAGGUAAACAACCAGGUUUUGAUUCUUACCCUAAUGGGAUGAAAGAUUUUUUGGUGAACUCUGAUCUAGUGAAAAUGCUAAUGGAUGAUAAACUGAGCCCUCGAGAAAAUCAUGCCCCAUUUAUCCUGCCUGAUGCUGGUGUUGAUGAUAACGCAUGGGAGAAGCUUCUUUUGACUAGUUAUUUGUUAGAAAAUAUUGAAGGUGCAAAAGAAGAAAUUGAAGAGCCUGAUAAUUCUAGAAUGGAGGUUGAAUCAACAGCAGCGGAGUUGAACAAAUCCGAAGAUUUUGAUUCUUUAUUGGAACAAAUGAAUAAUUCAUCUGAGGGAUCUAAUGCGGAGAACUCAGAAUUUGAAAGUCAUCAGUGAACAUCUGUAACUCAUGGCUUCGGACCUCAACAAUAAACCAGAAACACAGUUAAGACAGUAGCAUGGUUUUGUAUCAGUUCUUGUGAUAGCUUACUAUGGGAUAAUUGUAGCCCAGUCCAUCAUUCUUACGCAAGUCAAGUACCAAAUAUUUUGGUGGGCUACAAUAUUUGGGGAGACCACCAUCUUUUCGGUUUUGGUGACAAAUGUUUCAUUUUUCCUAACCUCACUUGUAUACUGAAAGAAAUACUGUUUGCCUUGUAACUUCAUGAGUUUAUGAGGACGGCAAAUGCUGUAACUAUUAUUUCACGAUUGAUGUUGACACUUUGUAAAGAAUAUGAGAUUGUGUACUAU